rnacentral:rRNA from 1 species
AUUGAACGCUGGCGGCAGGCCUAACACAUGCAAGUCGAACGAGUGGCGGACGGGUGAGUAAUGUCUGGGAAACUGCCCGAUGGAGGGGGAUAACUACUGGAAACGGUAGCUAAUACCGCAUACCAUCGGAUGUGCCCAGGUGGGAGUAGCUAGUGGGUGGGGUAACGGCUCACCUAGGCGACGAUCCCUAGCUGGUCUGAGAGGAUGACCAGCGACACUGGAACUGAGAAACGGGCCAGACUCCUACGGGAGGAAGCAGUGGUGAAUAUUGCACAAUGGGCGCAAGCCUGAUGCAGCCAUGCCGCGUGUAUGAAGAAGGCCUUCGGGGUUUAAAGUACUUUCAGCGAGGAGGCGUUACUCGCAGAAGAAGCACCGGCUAACUCCGUGCCAGCAGCCGCGGUAAUUC